rnacentral:lncRNA from 1 species
AGCCCAAGCACUGCUUCCACGGGACAUGCAAGCUUUACUAUGAGAAAGAAGCAAAUAGAAGAGGAGAAUACUUACUCUCAACUCUCUGUAUACCAUCCUCUCUCAAUUAGAAGCUACUCUCACAAAAGCUCUCUCAAAUCCCACCAAGGAGUCCCUCUCACAGGCCUGCUAGUAUUAGGAUCCUUGACGCCCUUGAAUGCUUUCUAUGGAGCGAACCGCUAC